AAACUACAACUCCCAGCAUGAAUGCUUGCUCUGCACUUCUCAGAACUCUCAUACAAAUGAAUGGAGCAUGCUGGGAAUUGUAGUUUCACAACAGCCGGAGUGACGAAGAUUGCUGACCCCUCCUUUACUCCAAG